rnacentral:rRNA from 1 species
AGAGUUUGAUCCUGGCUCAGAUUGAACGCUGGCGGCAGGCCUAACACAUGCAAGUCGAGCGGCAGCGGGAAAGUAGCUUGCUACUUUUGCCGGCGAGCGGCGGACGGGUGAGUAAUGCCUGGGGAUCUGCCCAGUCGAGGGGGAUAACAGUUGGAAACGACUGCUAAUACCGCAUACGCCCUACGGGGGAAAGGAGGGGACCUUCGGGCCUUUCGCGAUUGGAUGAACCCAGGUGGGAUUAGCUAGUUGGUGGGGUAAUGGCUCACCAAGGCGACGAUCCCUAGCUGGUCUGAGAGGAUGAUCAGCCACACUGGAACUGAGACACGGUCCAGACUCCUACGGGAGGCAGCAGUGGGGAAUAUUGCACAAUGGGGGAAACCCUGAUGCAGCCAUGCCGCGUGUGUGAAGAAGGCCUUCGGGUUGUAAAGCACUUUCAGCGAGGAGGAAAGGUUGGCGCCUAAUACGUGUCAACUGUGACGUUACUCGCAGAAGAAGCACCGGCUAACUCCGUGCCAGCAGCCGCGGUAAUACGGAGGGUGCAAGCGUAAAUCGGAAUUACUGGGCGUAAAGCGCACGCAGGCGGUUGGAUAAGUUAGAUGUGAAAGCCCCGGGCUUAACCUGGGAAUUGCAUUUAAAACUGUCCAGCUAGAGUCUUGUAAAGGGGGGUAGAAUUCCAGGUGUAGCGGUGAAAUGCGUAGAGAUCUGGAGGAAUACCGGUGGCGAAGGCGGCCCCCUGGACAAAGACUGACGCUCAGGUGCGAAAGCGUGGGGAGCGGGGAGGAUUAGAUACCCUGGUAGUCCACGCCGUAAACGAUGUCCAUUUGGAGGCUGGGUCCUUGAGACGUGGCUUCCGGAGCUAACGCGUUAAAUCGACCGCCUGGGGAGUACGGCCGCAAGGUUAAAACUCAAAUGAAUUGACGGGGGCCCGCACAAGCGGUGGAGCAUGUGGUUUAAUUCGAUGCAACGCGAAGAACCUUACCUGGCCUUGACAUGUCUGGAAUCCUGCAUAGAUGCGGGAGUGCCUUCGGGAAUCAUAACACAGGUGCUGCAUGGCUGUCGUCAGCUC